CGUAGGCGGCGGACCUUGUCGAGUGUGAAAGCCCCGGGCUCAACCUGGGAGGUGCGCUCGAGACGGGUUUGCUGGAGUUCGGGAGAGGAGAGUGGAAUUCCCAGUGUAGAGGUGAAAUUCGUAGAUAUUGGGAAGAACACCGGUGGCGAAGGCGGCUCUCUGGACCGAGACUGACGCUGAGGCGCGAAAGCGUGGGGAGCAAACAGGAUUAGAUACCCUGGUAGUCCACGCUGUAAACGAUGUGUGCUAGACGUUGGGGAGCGCAGCUCUUCGGUGUCGCCGCAAACGCUUUAAGCACACCGCCUGGGGAGUACGGCCGCAAGGUUAAA
rnacentral:rRNA from 1 species